GGGCUCGUCCGGCCCAUCACUAGGCAUGGGCGGGUUAAUGUGACAAAAUGACCUAUUUGUUGUAAAAGUCUUUGAGAGGAACCCACUAACUAUUUAUUUGAAGACUUUGGACAAAGUUUGUCUGCCGAUUCCUUCCCUGGACAUUCACAUGUUUUUAAAGAUAUCCAUCCUCUCUUAGAAACACACCUUCAAAACAUAAGAACCCUACAGAGUGUAGAAGGCGUUCUUUUGAGCUUUCAUCAAUGGCAGAUUGGAAUCGAGAUCAAGCUGAACAACUGCACAAGGAGUGGAGGGCAAGAACAACGUGGCUCUGGAAAUCAAGAUGAAAGCACCCAGACGUUCAACAGUACUGGGAAUGCAAUCUUCUCACAUGAUAGCACAGAGUCUGGGAUAUACGGAUUCGGGAAUGGAGCGUCGGGUGCAAACUUCAACACUGAUGACAAUUUUAUUUUUUCAAACAGAAGCCAUCGUUCUGGGAUUUCCGGCUUUGGCAACAUGAACAACGAAAAGUCAACCAUCUUAUUUCUUCUUGUUCUUGUUAUUGUUAUUGUUCUUGUUCUUCUUCUUUUACUCUUUUUAUAUAAUUUUAAGGUGAGUAAGCAAAACUAAAUAAGAUGAAGCAAGCGGCUCUAGUGAAAAACAAGGCACGACCAGGAAGAAAAAAAGAGAAAGUAUGGAGAGGCUUGGUUUGGAGUUUCCUUUCUCUGAAUGUGAAUCUUAUUUCUCUUA